UGCGGUCGCGGCGGCGACCGCGUCCCCCUCGCGGGGAUGAGGAAAGUCCGAACUGGGAGGCCCGGCCUGUGCGGGCCUCGGGCGCCGGUGCUUGAUAACGUCAAGGCGGAGCAAUCCGACGGAAAGUGCAACAGAAAGCAAACCGCCAGCGGCCCCGGCUUCCGGGGUGCGGGCAAGGGUGAAAUGGUGCGGUAAGGGCGCACCGCGUCGCGGGUGACCGCGACGGCACGGCAAACCCCACCGGCAGCAAGACCAAAUAGGCGGACCGGGCCGGUUUCGGCCGCGUCCAUCGCCCAGGACGCACACGCCCUCCCCGGGUGUGACGGUUCGCGGGUAGGUCGCUGGAGGCGCGCGGCGACGCGCGCCCAAGAGUAAUGGUCGCCCACCGUGGACUUGUGCCGCGGUGAACAGAAUUCGGCUUACCAGCGACCGCAACCG
rnacentral:RNase_P_RNA from 1 species